CGACUUGUUGCGGGCAGAUAAAGUGAAUAUGCGAGUCAACCGCACCGGCAGUCACGAUCUGACCUUCGCCAGCAAUCACUUCUGUACCAGGCCCUACAGCAAUCGUGACACCUUCUUGAGUGUCAGGGUUACCGCCUUUGCCAAUAGACGCGAUACGUCCGUCUUUUAUACCAAUAUCCGCCUUAACGAUACCCCAGUGAUCUAGAAUCAGCGCAUUAGUAAUGAGUACAUCCACUAUUUCGGACGACACCAUUUGGCUUUGACCCAUGCCAUCACG
rnacentral:sRNA from 1 species